rnacentral:misc_RNA from 1 species
CCCCAGUAGAACCACCUGUGCUGCUACCAGCACCACCAUAUGCCCCUAAACCUGAAACACCCCCUCCUACACUAUCUAACACCCCACCAUAUCCUGCUGCCAUCCCCAUUCCACCACCCAUUUGCUGGCCGAAACCACCAACUCCUGCAAAUGGAUUCCCAUAUGCUCCAUAAGGAUUAGCAAGUGCUCCACCAUAAAACGGAUUCAUCAUUGGCACAUCCGUGUUCUGACCCAACAUCCCCAUACUGUGACCAGCAGCAACUGGAGCAUACACGCCUUGCCCUGGUGGCAUUGCCAGCAGCGGCUGUUGUACAGCCUCCGUGGUGAUACUAGCCGCUCCACCACCAAUUUUCCCCUCAGCCGCCUUCUUACAAUGCAAUUGCCUCCCCUCAAAAAUCUUAGAGGGUUUUUCCAGACAUUUCUUGGCCGCCUCCACGGUUUUGUACACAAACAAAGCAUACCCU